rnacentral:rRNA from 1 species
CCUACGGGAUGCAGCAGUGAGGAAUAUUGGUCAAUGGGCGGGAGCCUGAACCAGCCAAGCCGCGUGAGGGAAGAAGGUACAGCGUAUCGUAAACCUCUUUUGUCAGGGAACAAAUGCGGGGCCUAGUCCCCGGAUGAGGGUACCUGAAGAAAAAACAUCGGCUAACUCCGUGCCAGCAGCCACGGUACUACGGAGGAUGCGAGCGUUAUCCGGAUUUAUUGGGUUGACGGGGUGCGCAGGAGGCAUGUUAAGUCAGCGGUAAAAGCCCGGGGGUCAAACCCGGCGAGCCGUUGAAGCUUGCGGGCUGGAGUUGGAGAGAAGUAAGCGGAAUGGGCGGUGUAGAGGGGAAAUGCUUAGAUAUCGCGCAGAACCCCGAUUGCGAAGGCAGCGUACCGGCUCCACACUGACGCUGAGGCACGAAAGCGUGGGUAUCGAACAGGAUUAGAUACCCGGGUAGUC